CGCAACACUUUGGCGGUAGCGUUGUAUUUAGCUGAUGCCGAGGCUCCUGGGACACGUUGAAAAGAUCAAAAUCAACGAGAAUUUAUGGAAAGAUGAACCUGGAUGAAAUUACUUUGACCAAAGGGAAUCCGUCACACGAUCUUCACUUGCCAAUCAUGUUUUCCUGGUUUACCUGGAAACACUUUCUGGUUGUGUGCUUUUCUCGCUGAGAGGACAGACUGUUCCAGUUCUCACCAAACUGAAGAGCCACAACGCUGAACUCACCAUAACAUCCCAGAUCUGGAAGAUGGGUCGUCUCUGGCCCCGCCCCCGCAGCCAGUGCACCAAUCAACAACUGACUUCGAACUGACGUCCCGCCGGCCCGAUUGUUGCAAAUCCAAAAAGGGUGAAUCCUAAUGUGAUUUAAAUGU